rnacentral:rRNA from 1 species
AAUUGCUAGUAAUGGCAGGUCAGCAUACUGCCGUGAAUACGUUCCCGGGCCUUGUACACACCGCCCGUCACACCAUGAGAGUUGGAGAUACCCGAAGCCUAUGAGCUAACUUUUAGAGGCAGUAGUCGAAGGUAGAAUCAAUGAUUGGGGGUGAAGUCGUAACAAGGUAAC